GACGAACGCUGGCGGCGUGCUUAACACAUGCAAGUCGAACGGUAAGGCCCUUCGGGGUACACGAGUGGCGAACGGGUGAGUAACACGUGGGUGAUCUGCCCUGCACUUCGGGAUAAGCCUGGGAAACUGGGUCUAAUACCGGAUAGGACUCCUGGCUUCAUGGUUGGGGGUGGAAAGCUUUUGCGGUGUGGGAUGGGCCCGCGGCCUAUCAGCUUGUUGGUGGGGUAAUGGCCUACCAAGGCGACGACGGGUAGCCGGCCUGAGAGGGUGACCGGUCACACUGGGUCUGAGAUACGGCCCAGACUCCUACGGGAGGCAGCAGUGGGGAACAUUGCACAAUGGGCGCAAGCCUGAUGCAGCGACGCCGCGUGAGGGAUGACGGCCUUCGGGUUGUAAACCUCUUUCAGCACCGACGAAGCGCAAGUGACGGUAGGUGCAGAAGAAGGACCGGCCAACUACGUGCCAGCCGCAGCGGUAA
rnacentral:rRNA from 1 species